UACGGGGGGGGCAAGCGUUGUUCGGAAUUACUGGGCGUAAAGGGCGCGUAGGCGGCUCGCUAAGUCGGAUGUGAAAACUCUGGGCUCAACCCAGAGCCUGCAUUCGAAACUGACGAGCUCGAGUUCUGGAGGGGAAAGCGGAAUUCCUGGUGUAGCGGUGAAAUGCGUAGAUAUCAGGAGGAACACCGGUGGCGAAGGCGGCUUUCUGGACAGUGACUGACGCUGAGACGCGAAAGCGUGGGGAGCGAACAGG
rnacentral:rRNA from 1 species